GUGGGGAAAUAGGGCUCUUAAAGAAAAAAAGCAAAAAGGAAAAAUUUGCCCCUUUCUUCUCAGUACAGUGCGACCCCCUCCCUCUCGUCCUCAUUCACGCUUGAGCAUUUCCGCCCAGAUGACUGCUUUCGGACAAAGCCACGCCAGCCACUGUUCAUACCUAAGUCGCGCAUCGAUUUAGCCUUGUUGUCACUCAUUCAUGUUACCGCUCAGCACCUGUCGCCAUCAGUUAGAAGCCGCCGCACCUGCCUCUGUCUGCGUCUUCCCUUUUUUCAGUCGCCAAAAUCCUGUGAUUUGGGAUGGAUUUAGGAAUUUGGGGUUGUUAAGGAAGUUAUCCAGCGGAGUAGAGGUUCAUUUUAGGAAGUUUUGGUACUUUUGGAUUGGGUUGCUCAAUUAAAGUGUUGGAAUGGUUUUGGAACAAGCCACAUGUUGGAUCCCACUAUCCCGUUCUAAGGAUGGAAAAUAGUCAAGAAUACUCUCGUGGUGGUCUACGAAUCGUUCAUGAAAAAAUUAGAGUGGAUU